UACAGAGGGUGCGAGCGUUGUCCGGAAUCACUGGGCGUAAAGGGCGCGUAGGUGGCGCGACAAGUCAGUGGUGAAAGCUCGACGCUCAACGUCGAGUCGGCCACUGAGACUGUUGGGCUUGAGCACUGUAGAGGCUAAUGGAAUUCCGGGUGUAGCGGUGGAAUGCGUAGAGAUCCGGAAGAACACCGGUGGCGAAGGCGGUUAGCUGGGCAGU
rnacentral:rRNA from 1 species